rnacentral:rRNA from 1 species
UGUAUGUUCUUGAAAUUCAAAGAAUCUGGCGGUAUUUUAGUCUAUUCAGAGGAACCUGUCCUGUAAUUGAUAAUCCACGAUUAAUUGAACUUAUUUUAAAGGUUUGUAUAUCGUCGUAGUUUGAAUGUUUUAUAAGAAAUUUAAAUGUUCAAGAUUUAGUAAGAUAAAGGAAAUCAGAUCAAGAUACAGCGUAUAGAUAAGGAGAGAUGGGUUACAAUAAAAGUAUUUAUAUGGUUAAUUUAAUUAACAUUAAAUUAUAAAGUGGAUUUGAAAGUAAUAUUAUUUAGUUAAAUAGUAUGAUUUUAGCUCUAAAAUAUGCACAUAUCGCCCGUCGCUCCCACUAUAAAGUGGGAUAAGUCGUAACAGAGUAGGCGUACUGGAAAGUGUGCCUGGUAAGGCAAGUUAGAGCUUGUUAAAAAGCAUUUUAUUUACAUUAAAAAGUUAGUUGUGUGAAUCAAUUUAAUUUGAAACAAAAAAUUUAUGUUAAUUUUUUAAAAAAAAUAUUUUUAUUAUUAGUAUUUAUUUAGAAAAUAGGCUUUAUGUAAUAGUUUAAAGUAUCGUGUGAGAAUAUUGAAAUAUUAGAAUGAUUAAUUAUAAAAAAGAAAAAUUUAAUUUUUGUACCUUGUGUAUCAGGGUUUAUUAAAAAAGUUCAAUUAGUUGAAUUUCUCGAAUUAAAAAGAGCUAAUAUUAUAUAUAUUUAAUUGUGGCAUAAAUUUUUAUAAUAUAAUAUUAGAAAUGAAACGUUAGUCGUUUUUUAAGAUAUCUAGUUUUUUAAGAAAUAAAUUUAAUUUAGUUUAUAAUUUGUAUUUAAUUGAAUAUUUAAUUAAAUAUAAUUAUGAGGCAAUAUUUUAAGGGAUAAGCUUUAAAAUAAAUUAAUAUAAUUAGGUUUUGUAUGAAAAAAAUUAUAGGAUUGGAAGUUUUUAUUGUAUAAUGUGUUAUAACUAAUUUUUUUUUAUUAUAAGAUUUAUAUUAAAAUUUAUAUAAUUUAUUAAAAUAAUGUAGUUAAUAGAGUUUUAUAUGAAAUAAUGAUAAAAUUAGUAUAAUUAGAUGUAUAUUUAAGUUAAGUAAUUUAGGUUAAAUUAAGGAACUCGGCAAAUAUAUUUUCCGCCUGUUUAUUAAAAACAUGUCUUUUUGAUAAUAAUUUAAAGUCUAGCCUGCCCAAUGAGGAGUUGAAUGGCCGCGGUAUUUUGACCGUGCAAAGGUAGCAUAAUCAUUAGUUUUUUAAUUGAAAGCUGGAAUGAAUGGUUGGACGAGAAAAUAACUGUCUCAAUUUAAUUUUAAUUAGAAUUUUAUUUUUAAGUAAAAAAGCUUAAAUGGCUUUAAAAGACGAGAAGACCCUAUAGAGUUUUAUAUUUUUUAUUAUAUUUGUAUUUUAGAAUUAGUAUGAAAAAUAUAAUAAAAAAUAUUUUGUUGGGGUGACAGAAAAAUUUAAUAAACUUUUUUUACUAUUAUUACAUUGAUUUA